rnacentral:ncRNA from 4 species
UGUAACAACUCACCUGCCGAAUC